UCCGGAAGGAGACGUGGCGGCGGUUGGGCCCCCGGCUCCCUCUGCGCUUUGUAGCCCCGCCGCCUCCUCCUCCUCCUCCCCCUCGUCUCCUCUGUGGGCAGAGGAGAUUGUGGCGGCGGCGGGAGAAAGCGGCGGCGGAGGAUGGAGGAAGGAGGCGGCGGUGCGCGGAGCCUGGUGCCCGGAGGGCCAGUGUUCCUAGUCCUCUGCGGCCUCCUGGAGGCGUCCGGCGGCGGCCGGGCGCUCCCGCCGCUCAGCGAUGACAUCCCUUUCCGAGUCAACUGGCCCGGCACCGAGUUCUCUCUGCCCACAACUGGAGUUUUGUAUAAAGAAGAUAAUUAUGUCAUCAUGACAACUGCACAUAAAGAAAAAUAUAAAUGUAUACUUCCGCUUGUGACAGGUGGAGAUGAGGAAGAAGAAAAGGACUAUAAAGGCCCUAAUCCAAGAGAGCUCUUGGAACCACUAUUUAAACAAAGCAGUUGUUCCUACCGAAUUGAAUCGUAUUGGACUUACGAAGUAUGUCAUGGAAAACACAUUCGGCAAUACCAUGAAGAAAAGGAAACCGGUCAGAAAGUAAAUAUUCACGAGUACUACCUUGGAAAUAUGUUGGCUAAGAAUCUUCUAUCUGAAAAAGAACAAGAAGCAGAGGAAAAAGAAAAAGCAAAAGAGAUUCCCACUAAAAAUAUCGAAGGUCAGAUGACACCUUACUAUCCUGUGGGAAUGGGAAACGGUACACCUUGUAGUUUGAAACAGAACCGGCCCAGAUCAAGUACCGUGAUGUACAUAUGUCAUCCUGAGUCUAAGCACGAGAUUCUUUCCGUAGCUGAAGUUACAACUUGUGAAUAUGAAGUUGUCAUUUUGACACCACUCUUGUGCAGUCAUCCUAAAUAUAGGUUCCGAGCGUCUGCUGUGAAUGACAUAUUUUGCCAGUCCCUGCCGGGGUCACCGUUUAAGCCCCUCACCCUGAGACAGCUGGAACAGCAGGAAGAAAUACUAAGGGUGCCUUUUAGAAGACAUAAAGAGGAAGAUUUACAAUCCGCUAAAGAAGAGAGAUUGCCAGCAACCCACAAACCCAUUGCUAUUGGCUCUCAGCCGCUGCUCACUGUUGGAACCACCCACAUAUCCAAGCUGACAGAUGACCAGCUCAUCAAAGAGUUCCUGAGUGGUUCUUACUGCUUUCAUGGGGGUGUUGGUUGGUGGAAAUAUGAAUUCUGCUAUGGCAAACAUGUACAUCAGUACCAUGAGGACAAGGAUAGUGGGAAAACCUCUGUGGUUGUGGGCACAUGGAACCAAGAAGAGCAUAUUGAAUGGGCCAAGAAGAACACUGCCAGAGCCUAUCAUCUGCAAGACGAUGGUACCCAGACAGUCAGGAUGGUGUCACAUUUUUAUGGGAAUGGAGAUAUUUGUGAUGUAACUGACAAACCAAGACAGGUGACUGUAAAACUGAAGUGUAAAGAGUCGGAGUCUCCUCACGCUGUUACCGUAUAUAUGCUAGAGCCCCAUUCCUGUCAGUAUAUUCUCGGGUUUCGCUCCCACGUGUGUACCCAAAAGAUGUGAACGCAAGGACUCAAACCAGAUGCUUGUACACCAGUGUUCAGUGCAAUACUAUUCACAAUAGCAGAGGUGGAAACAACACGAGUGUCCACCAACAAAUGAAUGGAGUGUUAUCAUAAAAAGAAGUGUAGUUCUUACGCGUGCUACGACAUGGACGAACCUUGAAGAUAUUAUACUGAUUGAAGUUGAAUCUCCAGUGAUCUGCAAAAUCUUAGAUACAGCAGAUGAAAAUGGACUUCUCUUUCUCCCCAGCUAAGGGGGAAUAAAGUCGGAGGAGAGAAAAGACCGCUGGAAGCCAUGAUGAUUUCUUUCUUUUGUGACCAUGUGUCUCAUUAGAGUUCUCAGCCAUUGGACCUCCUCUAAAGGAUUGUACAAAAGGACUCUCAACCACUUUGUGAAUAUCUGUGUGUAUAUAAGAGCUUCUUGAUAAACUUCUAAGGCAGA